UUAAUUAAAUAGGCUGCCGUAGACAGUAGGUACCUAAGGGUUUAAUUUCCUACCGAGGUUGAGAUUAAUCUAAUUCAUAAAAUAGAAAUUAGGGUCUCUCUGUGUCUACGGAGGGACCUUUAUUUAUU
rnacentral:sRNA from 1 species